rnacentral:rRNA from 1 species
GAAGCGACUGCUAAUACCGCAUAAGCCCACAGGUCGGCAUCGACCAGAGGGAAAAGGAGCAAUCCGCUUUGAGAUGGCCUCGCGUCCGAUUAGCUAGUUGGUGAGGUAACGGCCCACCAAGGCAACGAUCGGUAGCCGGACUGAGAGGUUGAACGGCCACAUUGGGACUGAGACACGGCCCAGACUCCUACGGGAGGCAGCAGUGGGGAAUAUUGCACAAUGGGGGAAACCCUGAUGCAGCGACGCCGCGUGGAGGAAGAAGGUCUUCGGAUUGUAAACUCCUGUUGUUGAGGAAGAUAAUGACGGUACUCAA